CCUACGGGUGGCAGCAGUGGGGAAUAUUGGACAAUGGGCGAAAGCCUGAUCCAGCCAUGCCGCGUGUGUGAAGAAGGCCUUCGGGUUGUAAAGCACUUUCAGUGGGGAAGAAAGCCUUGGGGCUAAUACCCUCGAGGAAGGACAUCACCCACAGAAGAAGCACCGGCUAACUCCGUGCCAGCAGCCGCGGUAAUACGGAGGGUGCGAGCGUUAAUCGGAAUUACUGGGCGUAAAGCGCGCGUAGGCGGUCUGAUAAGCCGGUUGUGAAAGCCCCGGGCUCAACCUGGGAACGGCAUCCGGAACUGACAGGCUAGAGUGCAGGAGAGGAAGGUAGAAUUCCCGGUGUAGCGGUGAAAUGCGUAGAGAUCGGGAGGAAUACCAGUGGCGAAGGCGGCCUUCUGGACUGACACUGACGCUGAGGUGCGAAAGCGUGGGUAGCAAACAGGAUUAGAUACCCCGGUAGUC
rnacentral:rRNA from 1 species